AUUGAACGCUGGCGGCAGGCCUAACACAUGCAAGUCGAGCGGAUGAAGGGAGCUUGCUCCUGGAUUCAGCGGAGGACGGGUGAGUAAUGCCUAGGAAUCUGUCUGGUAGUGGGGGAUAACGUCCGGAAACGGGCGCUAAUACCGCAUACGUCCUGAGGGAGAAAGUGGGGGAUCUUCGGACCUCACGCUAUCAGAUGAGCCUAGGUCGGAUUAGCUAGUUGGUGGGGUAAAGGCCUACCAAGGCGACGAUCCGUAACUGGUCUGAGAGGAUGAUCAGUCACACUGGAACUGAGACACGGUCCAGACUCCUACGGGAGGCAGCAGUGGGGAAUAUUGGACAAUGGGCGAAAGCCUGAUCCAGCCAUGCCGCGUGUGUGAAGAAGGUCUUCGGAUUGUAAAGCACUUUAAGUUGGGAGGAAGGGCAGUAAGUUAAUACCUUGCUGUUUUGACGUUACCAACAGAAUAAGCACCGGCUAACUUCGUG
rnacentral:rRNA from 1 species